AACAUGAAAUUCAAAGGGAAACAGGAGCAAUAAUCAUUACCAGCUGCCGUGUUAAGCAUUGCGAAAACGCUCACGAUUCACAGAAAAAUCCAUGCUGUUCUUUGAAGGCAUUCAAGCCUUAAUAGCUAGCUGGAUGAAUGUUUAACUUCUAGGCCAGGCACUACUCUGUCCCAACAAUAAGCCCUGUACAUUGGGAAAGGUGCCGAGACAUGAACUUUGGUCUUCUCUGCAAUCCAUCUGGAGCAUUCAGUGACAACAUCGACUUUGAAGUUGCACUGACCUGGCCAGCCCUGCCACUUACCAGGCUGUGGCUUGCCUUUUCACUUCUUGUGUCCUGUUUAAGAAAUAUCUACUAUCCCAAGAUAACACUAACAAAGUUGACCUUAGAAUUGGAGUGCCUGGGUUAGAACCCUGCUGGUACCACCUGCUUACUGCAUGCUUCUGAUGUGAGUUCAGGAGAAGACACUGGCAAGGACAGCAAAGAACAGGAGAACACUCUAGCUUCCCUGAUAGCAUUCAAGGUGCUGUCCAAAGCUCUUGAGUUUCUGCUUUCAAGUGACCCUCAGAAAUUCCCCCAUUCACUGCAGAGGUUCUGUUUCUCCUUGCUUUGUUCUGACUUUACGGCAGAACUAAGCUGAUGAGUUAGUUACUAUGGGUUAUCACUUGGAUUUGAAGAACCAUCAUUUCUAGGCAUUGCUGCUCAGAGUGACCUUGCCAUCGUAUCCCUUUUUGGAGACACAAGCCAGGAAGGAAGCUCUUCAGUGCAGCUGUGAAUAGAGAAAUGCUGGCUGAGGUUUUGGAGACACUGGGUGAUCAUUCCCAGUGAAAUUUUUAGAUCCCUGGGGACAUGAGCUGCUUUGUCUUUUCCAAGGUCAGGAUAAACAGAAUAACUUCAGGCUUCUCUACUCAGAAAGAACAUGUGGCAUAAAUAUCAACUGCAGAAUAAAUAUGAUUAAUCU
rnacentral:lncRNA from 1 species